AGUUGGUGAAAACGACCCAGAGUUUCUGCCAACCGUUACUGUUCUUGAACUUCCUCAGGAGGUAACCUGAGAGCUGGUUCUACAGAGGAAAGAGGAGAAAGGAACAAGAUCAGGAACAGAAAGAAGGGAAACAAAUGCAAAACGUCUGAAGUCACAGCGAGACCUGGCAAAGAGCCUCUACUGAAGCAUCUAUGUAUAUGGAGGCAUGGGAGGAAAGAAGGAUCGGGUUUGGGCAUCCAAGCUGGCAGAGCUCAGAGGACUUACCGGCGCAUCCAACACUAUGAGCUGCAGCCAGGAGCAAAGCAGAGACAUGUAAAGUUAAGAGACCCUCACCCUCCCUUCUCAUCACUUUGUGUGUCAGAAGAAUUGGAAUACCUGAUGAUGGGAUGUUAGCUUUUGUGUAAACCUAACUACAGAUUCUUAUUGGGAGCUUUAAUGGUUAAAAAGGGGGUGGCAGAGGUUAAGAGAAGAGACUGUA